GGCCGGCUGGCGCAAUGGUAGCGCGUCAGACUUCUAAUCUGAAGGCUGCGGGUUCGAGCCCCGCGCUGGUCA